rnacentral:rRNA from 1 species
UACGUAGGGGGCAAGCGUUGUCCGGAUUUAUUGGGCGUAAAGAGCGUGUAGGCGGCCGUACAGGUCAGCUGUGAAAACUCGAGGCUCAACCUCGAGACGUCGGUUGAAACCGUACGGCUAGAGUCCGGAAGAGGAGAGUGGAAUUCCCGGUGUAGCGGUGAAAUGCGCAGAUAUCGGGAAGAACACCCGUGGCGAAGGCGGCUCUCUGGGACGGUACUGACGCUGAUGCACGAAAGCGUGGGGAGCAAACAGG